rnacentral:lncRNA from 10 species
GUCUGCCGGCUUACUCUUUCUCUUGGGUGAUCUGCUCUGGGGAGAGUUGUGAGUAGGCCUCCAGCCCACAGCCAUGUGAGUGACCCUUUUGAAGAGUGGAUCUUCCAGGCCCAGUCAAGCCUUCAGAUGACUGCAGCCCCAGCCAACAUCUUGGGAGACCCCGAGUCAGAAACCCCCGCUAAGUCACUUCCAGAUCCCUAAGUCUCAGAAACUGAAGAAAAAAAAAAUGGUCCCAGCGUUCACUGCUACUUCUGAGCACCCUCUUUCAGAGCCAGCCACCUGAGGGCCAAUCUGAUGCUCGGGGAGAUGGAGUAUCUUCUUCCAUCACAGUCUCCUGCCGCAUUUCACGUGAUGAUGCAGCAAGAAUUAAGCCAUCUGCAACCUGGUAGGAGGGUCCCUACCAGAACCUUACCCUGCUGGCACCCUGAUCUCAGAUGUCCAGCCUCCAGAACGGCUAAUGACAUGCGGUGGGAUCCUCUCUCACAAUGCUGGGAAGCCACAGAGAGCCACAUCUCCCAGUUGGCACACCAUCAUGAAUGUAGACAACUGAGAUUUGACAGUGUUCCUUUUUGCCAGAACUCCUUAAUGAUACACCAGAGAGAUUACAAUGGAAAUGCUAAGGAAAGGAACAGCUGGCAUCUCUCCUUGAAAUCCUAUGAGCAGAACAAAUUCAGAGCUUCAAAACAACAAAAUAUGUUGCACCGGGAGAAUACGAUCCUCUCUGGAAUCCCAUCAGGGACUAGAAAGUUACCCCCGAUAAACAUGAUGAAAGAAAG